CUAGUGUCCUCUCUUGUCAAAAUGAUUCAUCUCUUCCCAUGUGUAGGUGGAACUAGUGUCCUCUCUUGUCUAAAUUAUUCAUCACUUCCCAUGUGUAGGUGGAACUAGUGUCCUCUCUUGUCUAAAUUAUUCAUCACUUCCCAUGUGUAGGUGGGACUAGUGUCCUCUCUUGUCUAAAUGAUUCAUCUCUUCCCAUGUGUAGGUGGAACUAGUGUCCUCUCUUGUCUAAAUUAUUCAUCACUUCCCAUGUGUAGGUGGGACUAGUGUCCUCUCUUGUCUAAAUGAUUCAUCUCUUCCCAUGUGUAGGUGGAACUAGUGUCCUCUCUUGUCUAAAUUAUUCAUCACUUCCCAUGUGUAGGUGGGACUAGUGUCCUCUCUUGUCUAAAUUAUUCAUCACUUCCCAUGUGUAGGUGGGACUAGUGUCCUCUCUUGUCUAAAUUAUUCAUCACUUCCCAUGUGUAGGUGGGACUAGUGUCCUCUCUUGUCUAAAUUAUUCAUCACUUCCCAUGUGUAGGUGGAACUAGUGUCCUCUCUUGUCAAAAUGAUUAAUCUCUUCCCAUGUGUAGGUGGAACUAGUGUCCUCUCUUGUCUAAAUUAUUCAUCACUUCCCAUGUGUAGGUGGGACUAGUGUCCUCUCUUGUCUAAAUUAUUCAUCACUUCCCAUGUGUAGGUGGGACUAGUGUCCUCUCUUGUCUAAAUUAUUCAUCACUUCCCAUGUGUAGGUGGGACUAGUGUCCUCUCUUGUCUAAAUGAUUCAUCUCUUCCCAUGUGUAGGUGGGACUAGUGUCCUCUCUUGUCAAAAUGAUUCAUCUCUUCCCAUGUGUAGGUGGGACUAGUGUCCUCUCUUGUCUAAAUUAUUCAUCACUUCCCAUGUGUAGGUGGGACUAGUGUCCUCUCUUGUCUAAAUUAUUCAUCACUUCCCAUGUGUAGGUGGAACUAGUGUCCUCUCUUGUCUAAAUUAUUCAUCACUUCCCAUGUGUAGGUGGGACUAGUGUCCUCUCUUGUCUAAAUUAUUCAUCACUUCCCAUGUGUAGGUGGGACUAGUGUCCUCUCUUGUCUAAAUUAUUCAUCACUUCCCAUGUGUAGGUGGGACUAGUGUCCUCUCUUGUCUAAAUUAUUCAUCACUUCCCAUGUGUAGGUGGGACUAGUGUCCUCUCUUGUCUAAAUUAUUCAUCACUUCCCAUGUGUAGGUGGGACUAGUGUCCUCUCUUGUCUAAAUUAUUCAUCUCUUCCCAUGUGUAGGUGGGACUAGUGUCCUCUCUUGU